UCCCUACACCGCUCACGGAGCCACUGGGAUGGCAAAGAAUUUAUCACCACCCACCCACCAUCCCUAAAGUUUUAUGGCAAUAUGGCUCCAUUAGAAAUCCAUUUUACAGAGGUAUUAAAAUAAUGAAGGUGAGAAUUAAGAGAGCAGCAUGUUCCUUUGAAAACCUGCUGAUCGUAAUAUACGGCUUUAAAGAAAGUUAUCAUGCAGUCCCCUUAAAGAAAGUUAUCAAUUAGUCACCGUAUCCGACGUUGGAAAAUUGUUCCCUGAAGAGGAUUUUAGGAGAAAAGCCAUUGCCUGAGCGAUGAAUUCGUCACUGGAAGUGCCACAGCUAAGAUGGCAUGGAGAGAGACCGGAAUCUUCGUAGAUCCUGGUGGCUCUGGAACUGGGAUUGGGACUGGGACUGAGGCUAGGACUGACACUGGGAUUUGGGUUGGGAAGGCUCCUCAUCCUGUAUGGGCACAGAAAGGUUGGGGAUGUUUCUCAAACCUGGAGAAAGCCUGAUAUUUACGUGAAAUUGGGAUAAACCUGCAGAAUACUUUGUUUUGACCCAAAAGUGCAUUUCUUGGUGCAGCACAAGGAGGCUGCAUGGCCAGGGGACUGUUAUGGCCAUGGGGUUGACAUAGCUGUGGGGCUGCAUGGCCGCAGGUCUGCAUGGCCAUGGGAUUGGUACAGCCAUGGCGUUGGAAUGGCCAUGGGUUUGCCAUGGCCAUGGGGUUGGUAUGGCCAUGGAGCUGCAUGGCCGCAGGCACCCACUUAUCUCAUCUGGGAAGCACAGUGCAGCCCUGACGCAUUGCUGGGCUCUCCUGAGAUCAACCAAACAAAAAUAUUUGUGUUUACUGUGGGGAUUUGUCUGUGCAUAAUUAUGCAUUAGUCAUUACGAGGACUACGGCAGAGUUUUACACAUGUAAAUAUGUUCCACUAAUUAGACAGGGCUGGCGUGGGUUGGGUUCUCUCUGCAGCCCGAUCCCUAACUCAGCAGAGCAGAGCUGUCUGAACCCGGAGUGUGCUGAGACACGUUAAACCAACCCUCGUGGCUUUGUGCUGGAGCCCCACUGUGCUCAGAGCACAAUGCAGCAAUGCAGCCUUCAGCUGCUCCCUCCUACACCUGCCCCUGUGGGCAGAGACACUCCGCAGAUCUCACGCAUAAGGCAUUAUUUCCUCCCAAAACAUUUUAAGUGCAGCAGCUUUCAGUAAUCUUCCGGCAUCUUCUCCUACGUGUGACAGCCUAUUAAUGCCAUUUGCGUGAGAAGUACACAAUAAAUCAUUCAUGCACGGUUUAGGACAGGUUAUGUGUAGCAGCCUCGCGGCGACGGCUGGAAGGAAUCACAGCGACUCUUUGCUGGAUGGAAAUCUGCAGCCUUCCAUCACAG
ensembl:lncRNA